UACGUAGGGUCCGAGCGUUGUCCGGAGUUACUGGGCGUAAAGCGCGCGCAGGCGGCGGUGUUGGCCCGGCGUGAAAGCCCCCGGCUCAACCGGGGAGAGUCGUCGGGGACCGCACCGCUUGAGGGCGGUAGGGGCUGGUGGAAUGCCUGGUGUAGUGGUGAAAUGCGCAGAUAUCAGGAGGAACACCGGUGGCGAAGGCGGAUCUCUGGGCCUUACCUGACGCUCAGGCGCGAAAAGCUAGGGGGAGCGAACAGG
rnacentral:rRNA from 1 species